rnacentral:rRNA from 1 species
CCUACGGGUGGCUGCAGUGAGGAAUAUUGGUCAAUGGACGCAAGUCCGAACCAGCCAUGCCGCGUGCAGGAAGACGGCUCUAUGAGUUGUACACUGCUUUUGUACGAGGGUAAACGCAGAUACGCGUAUCUUUCUGAAAGUAUCGUAUGAAUAAGGAUCGGCUAACUCCGUGCCAGCAGCCGCGGUAAUACGGAGGAUUCAAGCGUUAUCCGUAUUUAUUGGGUUUAAAGGGUGCGUAGGCGGUCGGAUAAGUUAGCGGUGAAAUCCCGAGGCUCAACUUCGGAAUUGCCUCUGAUACUGUUCGGCUAUAGAGUAGGUGCGGUAGGCGGAAUGUAUGGUGUAGCGGUGAAAUGCUUAGAGAUCAUACAGAACACCGAUUGCGAAGGCAGCUUACCAAGCUACUUCUGACGUUGAGGCACGAAAGCGUGGGGAGCAAACAGGAUUAGAUACCCCUGUAGUC